rnacentral:tRNA from 1 species
UCGUGGGAGGAGCCGUGCUGGCUCCUCUACGCCUGUGGGGCGCAGGCGGUAACCGACCCGGUGGUGGUCGGGUCCGGCUCCUGGGCCGCGGA